AACUCUACGGGACGCAGCAGUGGGGAAUAUUGCACGAUGGGGGAAACCCUGAUGCAGCGACGCCGCGUGAGUGAAGAAGUAUUUCGGUAUGUAAAGCUCUAUCAGCAGGAACGAGACAAGACGGUACCUGACUAAGAAGCCCCGGCUAACUACGUGCCAGCAGCCGCGGUAAUACGUAGGGGGCAAGCGUUAUCCGGAAUCACUGGGUGUAAAGGGAGCGUAGACGGCUGAGCAAGCCUGAUGUGAAAGGUCGGGGCCCAACCCCGGGACUGCAUUGGAAACUGUUGAACUGGAGUACAGGAGAG
rnacentral:rRNA from 1 species